GCGGCAGGCUUAAUACAUGCAAGUCGAGGGGCAGCAUGAGUAGCAAUACUUGAUGGCGACCGGCAAACGGGUGCGGAACACGUACAGAACCUUCCUUCGAGUGGGGAAUAGCCCGAAGAAAUUCGGAUUAAUACCCCAUAGUAUUAUGAAGUGGCAUCACUUUAUAAUUAAAGAUUUAUUGCUUGAAGAUGGCUGUGCGCCUGAUUAGGUAGUUGGCGGGGUAAUGGCCCACCAAGCCUUCGAUCAGUAACUGGUGUGAGAGCACGACCAGUCACGCGGGCACUGAGACACGGGCCCGACUCCUACGGGAGGCAGCAGUAAGGAAUAUUGGUCAAUGGACGCAAGUCUGAACCAGCCAUGCCGCGUGGAGGAUGAAGGUCCUCUGGAUUGUAAACUUCUUUUAUUUGGGAAGAAAUGUGAUUAUUCUUUGUCACCUGACGGUACCAGAUGAAUAAGCACCGGCUAACUCCGUGCCAGCAGCCGCGGUAAUACGGAGGGUGCAAGCGUUAUCCGGAUUUACUGGGUUUAAAGGGUGCGCAGGCGGAUAUGUAAGUCAGUGGUGAAAUCUUCCCGCUUAACGGGAAAACUGCCAUUGAUACUAUAUAU
rnacentral:rRNA from 1 species